AGCGAACAUUGGCGGUAGGCUUAACACAUGCAAGUCGAGCGAGGCGUAAUAGUCGAGCGGCGAACGGGUGCGUAAUACGUGGGAAUCUACCUCGAAGUGGGGGAUAACGUCCAGAAAUGGACGCUAAUACCGCAUAAUCCAUAUUGGGAAAGCGUUGCAGCGCUUUGAGAUGAGCCCAUGGCUGAUUAGCUUGUUGGUGAGGUAACGGCUCACCAAGGCGACGAUCAGUAGCUGGUCUGAGAGGAUGACCAGCCACACUGGAACUGAGAAACGGUCCAGACUCCUACGGGAGGCAGCAGUGGGGAAUCUUGCGCAAUGGGGGCAACCCUGACGCAGCCAUACCGCGUGAGUGAUGAAGGUCUUCGGAUUGUAAAGCUCUUUCGGCGGGGACGACGAUGACGGUACCCGCAAAAGAAGUCACGGCUAACUUCGUGCCAGCAGCCGCAGUAA
rnacentral:rRNA from 1 species